UACGGAGGAUGCGAGCGUUAUCCGGAUUUAUUGGGUUUAAAGGGUGCGUAGGCGGUAUUUUAAGUUAGCGGUAAAACGUCGGGGCUUCACCCUGAUUGGCCAUUAAAACUGGAGUACUAGAGUACAGACGAGGUAGGCGGAAUAAGUUAAGUAGCGGUGAAAUGCUUAGAUAUAACUUAGAACCCCGAUAGCGAAGGCAGCUUACCAGACUGUUACUGACGCUGAAGCACGAGAGCGUGGGUAGCGAACAGG
rnacentral:rRNA from 1 species